AGCAGCCGCGGUAAUUCCAGCUCCAAUAUCUUAUAUUAAAGUUGUUGCAGUUAAAAAGCUCGUAGUUGAAUUUCGGGAUCAAUAUAUUGGUCGUGCCUCUGGUAUGAACUGGUAUCAUUGAUUUCUACCUUCUGACGAACUGUGAUGUCAUUAAUUUGGUGUCAUAGGGAAUCAGGACUGUUACUUUGAAAAAAUUAGAGUGUUUAAAGCAGGCACACGCUUGAAUACAUUAGCAUGGAAUAAUGAAAUAGGACGUUUGACCCUAUUUUGUUGGUUUCUAGGAUCGACGUAAUGAUUAAUAGGGAUAGUUGGG
rnacentral:rRNA from 1 species